rnacentral:tRNA from 1 species
AUCUAAAUAGCUUAUAUAUUAGAGCGUGACACUGAAGAUGUUAAAGAAAUUAAUUUAAUUUUUAGAUA